rnacentral:rRNA from 1 species
UACGAAGGGUGCAAACGUUGCUCGAAAUUAUUGGGCGUAAAGCGCACGUAGGCGGCAUUGCAAGUCGGAUGUGAAAUCCCUCGGCUUAACCAAGGAAGUGCAUCCGAAACUGCAGUGCUUGAGUACUUAAGAGGAUCGCGGAAUUCCCGGUGUAGAGGUGAAAUUCGUAGAUAUCGGGAGGAACACCAGUGGCGAAGGCGGCGAUCUGGGAAGAUACUGACGCUGAGGUGCGAAAGCGUGGGGAGCAAACAGG